rnacentral:rRNA from 1 species
UGGGGAAUAUUGCACAAUGGGCGCAAGCCUGAUGCAGCCAUGCCGCGUGUAUGAAGAAGGCCUUCGGGUUAUAAAGUACUUUCAGCGGGGAGGAAGGGAGUAAAGUUAAUACCUUUGCUCAUUGACGUUACCCGCAGAAGAAGCACCGGCUAACUCCGUGCCAGCAGCCGCGGUAAUACGGAGGGUGCAAGCGUUAAUCGGAAUUACUGGGCGUAAAGCGCACGCAGGCGGUUUGUUAAGUCAGAUGUGAAAUCCCCGGGCUCAACCUGGGAACUGCAUCUGAUACUGGCAAGCUUGAGUCUCGUAGAGGGGGGUAGAAUUCCAGGUGUAGCGGUGAAAUGCGUAGAGAUCUGGAGGAAUACCGGUGGCGAAGGCGGCCCCCUGGACGAAGACUGACGCUCAGGUGCGAAAGCGUGGGGAGCAAACAGG